UACGUAGGGUGCGAGCGUUGUCCGGAAUUAUUGGGCGUAAAGAGCUUGUAGGCGGUCUGUCGCGUCUGCUGUGAAAUCCCGAGGCUCAACCUCGGGUCUGCAGUCGAUACGAGCAAACUAGAGUGUUGCAGGGGAGACUGGAAUUCCUGGUGUAGCGGUGAAAUGCGCAGAUAUCAGGAGGAACACCGGUGGCGAAGGCGACUUUCUGGCCCGUUCUUGACGCUGAGGCGCGAAAGCUAGGGGAGCAAACGGG
rnacentral:rRNA from 1 species